rnacentral:rRNA from 1 species
UACGUAGGGUGCGAGCGUUGUCCGGAAUUAUUGGGCGUAAAGAGCUCGUAGGCGGUGUGUCACGUCGUUCGUGAAAACCUGCAGCUUAACUGUGGGCGUGCGGUCGAUACGGGCAUCACUGGAGUUCGGCAGGGGAGACUGGAAUUCCUGGUGUAGCGGUGAAAUGCGCAGAUAUCAGGAAGAACACCCGUGGCGAAGGCGGUUCUCUGGGACGGUACUGACGCUGAGACGCGAAAGCGUGGGGAGCGAACAGG